GAUGAACGCUGGCGGCGUGCCUAAUACAUGCGAGUAGAACGCUGAAGGAGGAGCUUGCUCUUCUGGAUGAGUUGCGAACGGGUGAGUAACGCGUAGGUAACCUGCCUGGUAGCGGGGGAUAACUAUUGGAAACGAUAGCUAAUACCGCAUGACAACAGUUAUUGCAUGAUAACUGUUUAAAAGGGGCAACUGCUCCACUACCAGAUGGACCUGCGUUGUAUUAGCUAGUUGGUGAGGUAACGGCUCACCAAGGCGACGAUACAUAGCCGACCUGAGAGGGUGAUCGGCCACGCUGGGACGGAGACACGGCCCAGACUCCUACGGGAGGCAGCAGUAGGGAAUCUUCGGCAAUGGACGGAAGUCUGACCGAGCAACGCCGCGUGAGUGAAGAAGGUUGUCGGAUCGUAAAGCUCUGUUGUAAGAGAAGAGCGAGUGUGAGAGUGGAAAGUUCACACUGUGACGGUAGCUUACCAGAAAGGGACGGCUAACUACGUG
rnacentral:rRNA from 1 species